UUGGGAAUCUUGGACAAUGGGGGAAACCCUGAUCCAGCCAUGCCGCGUGAGUGAUGAAGGCCUUCGGGUUGUAAAACUCUUUCGACGGGGACGAUAAUGACGGUACCCGUAGAAGAAGCUCCGGCUAACUUCGUGCCAGCAGCCGCGGUAAUACGAAGGGGGCUAGCGUUGCUCGGAAUUACUGGGCGUAAAGCGCACGUAGGCGGACUCUUAAGUCGGUGGUGAAAUCCUGGAGCUCAACUCCAGAACUGCCUUCGAUACUGGGAGUCUUGAGUUCGGGAGAGGUCAGUGUAACUGCGAGUGUCGAGGUGAAAUUCUCAGAUAUUCGCAAGAACACCAGUGGCGAAGGCGGCUCACUGGCCCGAUACUGACGCUGAGGUGCGAAAGCGUGGGGAGCAAA
rnacentral:rRNA from 1 species